GGUUAAGUUAUGAAGGGCGCAUGGUGAAUGCCUUGGUACUAGGAGCCGAUGAAGGACGGGACUAACACCGAUAUGCUUCGGGGAGCGGUAAGUACGCUUUGAUCCGGAGAUUUCCGAAUGGGGAAACCCAAUCAUCUUAGUCGAUGAUUACUUGAGCAGUGAAUUCAUAGCUGCCAAGAGGUAGACGCAGUGAACUGAAACAUCUUAGUAGCUGCAGGAAGAGAAAGAAAAUUCGAUUCCCUGAGUAGCGGCGAGCGAAACGGGAAGAGCCCAAACCACUGAGCUUGCUCAGUGGGGUUGUAGGACUGAACUUUGGAGUUACCAAAGAAUCAGGUAGUCGAAGUGGCUGGGAAGCCACACCAGAGAUGGUGAUAGUCCAGUAGACGAAACCUGGUUCUCUCCGUUCAGGAUCCUGAGUACGGCGGGACACGUGAAACCCCGUCGGAAUCCGCGAGGACCAUCU
rnacentral:rRNA from 2 species